rnacentral:rRNA from 1 species
GACGAACGCUGGCGGCGUGCUUAACACAUGCAAGUCGAACGGAAAGGCCCUGCUUUUGUGGGGUGCUCGAGUGGCGAACGGGUGAGUAACACGUGAGUAACCUGCCCUUGACUUUGGGAUAACUUCAGGAAACUGGGGCUAAUACCGGAUAGGAGCUCCUGCUGCAUGGUGGGGGUUGGAAAGUUUCGGCGGUUGGGGGUGGACUCGCGGCUUAUCAGCUUGUUGGUGGGGUAGUGGCUUACCAAGGCUUUGACGGGUAGCCGGCCUGAGAGGGGGACCGGGACCAAGGGGCUGAGAGAAGGGCCCAGCCCCCAGGGGGGGGCAAGGGGGGGAAAAUUGAGCAAGGGGGAGAAAGCGGGUGAAGAAGCCCCCGGGGGGGGAAGGGGGGCUUGGGGUUAAAAAAAAGUGUUCGCUGUAGAGAAGGGUGAAAGGAGGGUAAGGAAAAAAGAAGCACCGGCUAAAUACGUG